CAGAGCUGAGCUCUAAGUAAUAAUCUGCAUCUGAACCAUGGAGGAAAUUUAUGCCAAUGUUGAAUACCCCAAACAUAACAAUUCAAAACCUUCACCAGGUCACACAGGAACAAGCGGCCGUGAAAGGAGUUUCCAUUUAGGAAUUAUUAUCUGUCUGGGAAUGCUGAGUGUUUUCCUGCUGAUUGGACUCAUCACCCUUGGUGUUUACUAGAAAGUGUGUCCUGAAGGAUGGAGAAUGUUCUGUCAUAGCUGUUACGUAUUAUCUGAAAAGCUUGGUUCCUGGGAUGAAGGUAGAGAUGACUGCAGAAGCAAAGGAGCAGAUCUGGUGGUGAUAGAAAGCCUUGAAGACAAGACAUUUAUAUCUAGUUACAUUAAGGAACGUGCUUGGAUUGGUUUGAAUGACAAAGAAGAGGAAGGAAAUUGGAAAUGGGUCGAUGGAACUCCACUGACUCUACAGAACUGGGUGGCAAAACAACCGGAUAACGGUGAUGGAAACCCAAAGUGGGGUGAAGAGGACUGCGUUCAUGUAGAGCCUGAUGCAUCAUGGAAUGAUCUCUCAUGUUCAGCCUCUCUAAAGUGGAUCUGUGAAAAACAUACAACAGAAUAAUUCAUUGACCACUGUCUGACAUGCAUUUACUAAUUUAGCUGUGACUUUUAUUCUAUCCUAUCAGUCAUUUUCACUCCAUUUUAACUUUUUUUUUUUUUUGCUGUAGCUAAAAAUGUGUAACCUUUUAAAUCUAAAGUUAUGCUUAUGCCAGUAGAAAUACCAGAUACUUAUGGAAGUGUUUUGUGUAUUCCAAUAUUAUUUAAAGAAAAAAAAUCAAUCCCUUGUUAGGGAAAAAAUAAAAAUAAGGUCUCAAGUCUUGUGUUCUAGAGAACAGUGGCUGCAGUCACAUUUAGUCUGAGCUCAGUGUGGUUCAGUGGGUAUCUAAACGAUGAAACCCAACUCAACAGUGACACCUGCUGGCCAGUUUGGCUAUCACCACGUCUUGAUGAUGCUGUUCUGUGAAACAAUGACACAGAAAAACCUUGCAAAAUUCAAAGCAAAAAUACUUAUUAAACCAGACUGUCAAUAAUUGUGAUCAUCACGUGUUUUGGAGAAAUCCUCGUACAAACAGGGAAGGGAAAAAAAGGGACUCUUAAAGACAGAAAGCUGUAACUGUAAUAACCGGUGUGCUUCAGCAAAAUUCUCAGUCUGUUAACAUUCAUAUUGCUCACAAUAAAUCAAAUUAUAAAGUAAAGUAUACAGGAAAACCCUGCAGUGUUUACUUUAAUAGCCACAAAGAUUUACAGCUGUUCUUUGGGCUCGUUCAUCUUUGUUUUUUGCUCACAGCCCAAUGACAACAGAUAAAUUAUCCCAUAUGUUAAUUCUCUGUAGUAACUCCAAAAUGAACUAAUGAAACAGUACAAAGCACCACAUGAUGUGUUGUCAGUGAAAGGUGCAGCUGUUUUAUUGAUAAACUUAAAGACAAAAUGUCAAAGGGAUUAAUCAUUCAUGUGACUGUGUCACUAUAUAUCAGCAUUAACAGUGCCUCAGUUUAGUGUUUCAGACAGCUGCUGAUCUCAGACCUGCACACUUUCUGUUUUAAACACUGAAUGUACUCAGGUGCAUGAAGAGCACAUGAGAUUUUCUGACACAAAUAAAUAAACCUGAUGAAGGUCAAAGGUUGCCACUCGUAUGUAGAACUAAAAACUUGUGAUUUUGAAUUCUUUCACUGUUUUUUGCCAAUAGUGUGUUAUUUACCAUAAAGUAAUUCAGUCAUUCAUACCAGAGUAACCAGAGAGGAUGAUAUAUUUUUAAAUAUAUAACUUUCUACAGGACUGAAUAAAAUAUCUUUAUGUAAAAGCCCAGGGCCUCUGAGGAUUAUACAAGUAUUUAUAACAUUAGACAAACUAAAGAUCUCCAUCAAAGUGUUGAUGAAAUCCUGGGUUUAUCCAUCUUCUGGGGCGGGCCUACAGUGGAGCUCUGAAGAUUUCCCUGUAAGGGAGCUGGUGGUGAAGAUCAUGAGUCCUCCUUGAUCCCUGCCUUUAGCUUCAGUCUUCCUGAUGUUUGUGAAAGGAUGCCUCUCUCAAUGAGUGAACAGAACAUCUGGCACAAGACAGCUGAUGGUCUCCCUCCCCAGUUUUCCCCCCAGGGUGAAUGUAGCUGUUGAUUCAGUAAAAGGACUAGAUGUAACAAUCCCUGAUAAUGCGUUAUUAUCUAAUGGGGGGGGAGACAAAUUACACCUAUGAAACCUCUUGCUGCUGCUUUUAUGUAAAGUUUCCAUGUUACCAAGCUGUAGAGUGCUCUGUGAGUGUAAUGCAGGGGUCGGCAACCCUAGGCACGCGUGCCAAGGGUUAACUGAUGGCACGACCAAUGCUGGACUGGCCAUCGGGCUUUUGCUCGGUGUUUCUAUACAGCUGGGUGUGUGCUUUGAUGUUAGUGAUACCAUAGUGAACUGUAUUUU